rnacentral:rRNA from 1 species
UACGGAGGGUGCAAGCGUUAUCCGGAUUUAUUGGGCUUAAAGGGUCCGUAGGCGGAUCUGUAAGUCGGUGGUGAAAUCUCACAGCUUAACUGUGAAACUGCCAUUGAUACUGCAGGUCUUGAGUGUUAUUGAAGUAGCUGGAAUAAGUAGUGUAGCGGUGAAAUGCAUAGAUAUUACUUAGAACACCAAUUGCGAAGGCAGGUUACUAAGCAACAACUGACGCUGAUGGACGAAAGCGUGGGGAGCGAACAGG